rnacentral:lncRNA from 1 species
UCUUUAAGAUUAAUUAACUAAAAUAUCAUCUUAUUACAUAUAUACAGAUAAUUCAUAAUAUAUAUGUUAAUAUAAAUUAUGUUGAGGUAGCAUUGCUAAUAUAUUUUAGAAACAACUAGCUUAAUUUUAAGUGAAUAUAUAUGAUUGCUGUUAUAUGUCUACAUCUUCUCAAAUUUCAUUAAAUUUUAAUUUGGAUUCUUCUGACGCGGAAACUUAGCUAGCUUGAAGAUAGAAACAACCUGUACUGUUAUAUCAUUUAAGAUUAUAAAAUUUUGUGACUGGCCGAAAGGAUCUUAUACACGAGAGUAAAUCUAAAUCAACGUGUGUUAUCGAAUAUCGACUGGAGAUAUCUCCAACAUCUAAACUAAAGUCUUUAUGUUAUCCUCUUAUUUUGUCGUUACACCAUCAGGUUCUUCCCCCU